GAUGAACGCUGGCGGCGUGCCUAAUACAUGCAAGUCGAGCGAACGGACGAGAAGCUUGCUUCUCUGAUGUUAGCGGCGGACGGGUGAGUAACACGUGGAUAACCUACCUAUAAGACUGGGAUAACUUCGGGAAACCGGAGCUAAUACCGGAUGAUAUUUUGAACCGCAUGGUCCAAAAGUGAAAGACGGUCUUGCUGUCACUUAUAGAUGGAUCCGCGCUGCAUUUGCUAGUUGGUAAGGUAACGGCUUACCAAGGCAACGAUGCAUAGCCGACCUGAGAGGGUGAUCGGCCACACUGGAACUGAGACACGGUCCAGACUCCUACGGGAGGCAGCAGUAGGGAAUCUUCCGCAAUGGGCGAAAGCCUGACGGAGCAACGCCGCGUGAGUGAUGAAGGUCUUCGGAUCGUAAAACUCUGUUAUUAGGGAAGAACAUAUGUGUAAGUAACUGUACACAUCUUGACGGUACCUAAUCAGAAAGCCACGGCUAACUACGUG
rnacentral:rRNA from 1 species